AUUGAACGCUGGCGGCGGGCCUAACACAUGCAAGUCGAGCGGAGCGGCGGACGGGUGAGUGAUGCCUAGGAAUCUACCUGGUAGUGGGGGAUACCGUAAGGAAACGGGAGCUUAUACCGCAUACUAUCAGCUGACCCUAGGUCGUGUUAGCUAGUUGGAGGGGUAAAGGCCUACCAAGGCGACGAUCCGUAACUGGGCUGAGAGGAUGAUCAGUCACACUGGAACUGAGACACGGUCCAGACUCCUACGGGAGGCAGCAGUAGGGAAUAUUGGGCAAUGGGCGAAAGCCUGACCGAGCAAUGCCGCGUGAGUGAAGAAGGUCUUCGGAUUGUAAAGCUCUUUAAUUUGGGAAGCGGUACCAACACAGUAAGCACCGGCUAACUUCGUGCCAGCAGCCGCGGUAAUAC
rnacentral:rRNA from 1 species